GAUGAAGAACGUAGCGAAAUGCGAUAAGUAAUGUGAAUUGCAGAAUUCAGUGAAUCAUCGAAUCUUUGAACGCACAUUGCGCCCUCUGGUAUUCCGGGGGGCAUGCCUGUUCGAGCGUCAUUAUAACCACUCAAGCUCUCGCUUGGUAUAGGGGCUCGCGGUUCCGCGGCCCCUAAAAUCAGUGGCGGUGCCUGUCGGCUCUACGCGUAGUAAUACUCCUCGCGAUUGAGUCCGGUAGGUCUACUUGCCAGCAACCCCCAAUUUUUACAGGUUGACCUCGGAUCAGGUAGGGAUACCCGCUGAACUUAAGCAUAUCAAUAAGCGGAGGA
rnacentral:misc_RNA from 1 species